rnacentral:rRNA from 1 species
UACGGAGGGUGCGAGCGUUGUCCGGAAUCACUGGGCGUAAAGGGCGCGUAGGCGGCGCGGGAAGUCCGUGGUGAAAGCCCGAGGCUCAACUUCGGGUCGGCCAUGGAUACUCCUGGGCUCGAGCACUGUAGAGGCAGGUGGGAAUUCCGGGUGUAGCGGUGGAAUGCGUAGAUAUCGGAAGGAACACCAGUGGCGAAAGCGGCUUCCUGGUCCGACACCGACGUUCAGGCACGAAAGCGUGGGGAGCAAACAGG